CAGUCGCCGCGGUAAAACAGAGGGUGCAAGCGUUAAUCGGAAUUACUGGGCGUAAAGCGCGCGUAGGUGGUUUGUUAAGUUGGAUGUGAAAGCCCCGGGCUCAACCUGGGAACUGCAUCCAAAACUGGCAAGCUAGAGUACGGUAGAGGGUGGUGGAAUUUCCUGUGUAGCGGUGAAAUGCGUAGAUAUAGGAAGGAACACCAGUGGCGAAGGCGACCACCUGGACUGAUACUGACACUGAGGUGCGAAAGCGUGGGGAGCAAACAGGAUUAGAUACCCCCGUAGUCCCUGUCUCUUAUAC
rnacentral:rRNA from 1 species